AUUGAACGCUGGAGGCGUGCUUAACACAUGCAAGUCGUGCGAGAAAGGGACUUCGGUCCUGAGUAGAGCGGCGCACGGGUGAGUAACGCGUGGGUAAUCUCCCUUGGUGAUCGGGAUAACAGCGGGAAACUGCUGCUAAUACCGGAUAAUCUUCAUGUUUAACUUCAUGGGGUAAAGGCGGCCUCUGCUUGCAAGCUGCCACAUCAAGAUGAGCCCGCGUCUCAUUAGCUAGUUGGGAGGGUAAUGGCCUACCAAGGCUACGAUGAGUAGCUGGUCUGAGAGGAUGACCAGCCACACUGGGACUGGAACACGGCCCAGACUCCUACGGGAGGCAGCAGUGGGGAAUAUUGCGCAAUGGGCGAAAGCCUGACGCAGCGACGCCUCGUGAGGGAUGAAGGUCUUCGGAUCGUAAACCUCUGUCAAGGGGGAAGAAACCUCUGGAUUCGAACAGGGUCUAGAGCUGACGGUACCUCUAAAGGAAGCACCGGCUAACUCCGUGCCAGCCGCCGCCGUAAAAC
rnacentral:rRNA from 1 species